CCUACGGGAGGCUGCAGUGGGGAAUAUUGCACAAUGGGGGAAACCCUGAUGCAGCGACGCCGCGUGAGUGAAGAAGUAAUUCGUUACGUAAAGCUCUAUCAGCAGGGAAGAAAUACUGACCUUACGGUCAGCAGACGGUACCUGAGUAAGAAGCCCCGGCUAACUACGUGCCAGCAGCCGCGGUAAUACGUAGGGGGCAAGCGUUAUCCGGAUUUACUGGGUGUAAAGGGAGCGUAGACGGUGUGACAAGUCUGGAGUGAAAUGCCGCAGCUUAACUUCGGUACUGCUUUGGAAACUGGCGAACUAGAGUGGGGGAGAGGUAAGCGGAAUUCGUGGUGUAGCGGUGAAAGGCGUAGAUAUUAGGAGGAACACCGGUGGCGAAGGCGGCUUACUGGACCGUAACUGACGUUGAGGCUCGAAAGCGUGGGGAGCGAACAGGAUUAGAUACCCCUGUAGUC
rnacentral:rRNA from 1 species